rnacentral:lncRNA from 1 species
UUGAAAUAAGCAAGAAUAAUAUUUCGAUGGAAAGUACUGCACUCGACUUUAAUGAUGAUUUACCAUUUGAUACAUCUACUAUUGACUCACAACAUGAAAUGGCACGAAAAUGUUGAAUUAAAAAGUCAUGCUUUAUUAACACUUUUGUUGUUCAAUCCCAAUAAGGAAGACUAGUUUCGUCACAUUUUCUGAUUCCGCUCUACUUGUCCCACUUUUGUCUUUGGAAUGAACUAGUUAAACCUGAAAAAAUGGGAAACUAAAUGUGUAAAUACUUAUUAAAAAUUACUCAACUGACUCAGCUUCUGAAAUUUUGCACAGGGUAUCACAGGAACUACCAAUUCUUGUCAUUGUCAGCAUGCUU